UCUCUCAAUGCCUGGAGACCCCGUCAGGGUGGCCUGAGAGCUGACCGUGGGCCUGGUGGUGUGCAGGUUGGCAGUGACCUUGACCAGAGCCAUGCUGGGGAUGCAGUUUUGCUCCCCCAGAUUCAUAGGGUGGAGCCCCCGCCCCUGUGUGACUAUAUUUGGAGAUAGGCCCCUUAAGGAAGUAAUUCAGGUGAAGUGAGGUCAUCAGGAGGGGCCCUGGCCCAGUAGGAUUGGCGUCCUCACCAGAAGAAACUCUAAAGUGCAAGUGAGCUCACGCUCAGCCACGCCAGGACACACGGAGAAGGCGGCCACCCGCAAGCCAGGAGGGAGCCUCACAGGAACCCAGAUGGGCUGGAACCUUUGCUUUGUUCUUUGAACCUCCAGGACUGUGAGAAAUUAAGUUCAUUGUUGAAGCCACCUGUCUGUGGCGGUUUUCUUACGGCAGCCCAAGCUGACUAAGGUGGGGUCAAGCCAGGUUGGAGUGGGCUCAAGGGGGAGGAAAAGGUGAAGUCUCUUUCAAGAGCGUAGCUGCAGAGGGGAGCUGAGAACACAGAGCCUCCUGAUUACAUUGGUCUUACCUGGAUAAUCCAAGACACUCUCCCCAUCUGAAGAUCCCUCAUCAAAUGGCAUCUGCACAGCCCCUUUUGCCAGGAGCAGAUCCGCCGCUCGAAACAGCUGACCCAGCGACGACUGCGGAACCACUAGCAGCGUCUGCACAGAUCGACCCCGCCAUCCCGCCGUCCCGUUCGGUGACCGGAGACGCAGCCGGGAACGCGACUGAUCAGGCUACCGAGCCGGGCCGCAGGGCGAAAGCGGUGCGGUCCGAGGCCUCAGAAAGGGACACGCAGCAGCGGCAGUGGCGCUGACUCAGCCCGGCCUCCCUGCAGUCCCCUCAAAUACAAAGACUUCUCCGCAAAUGUUUAUAGCAGCUUUAUUUGUAAUAGCCAAAAACUGAUCACAAUCCAAAUGUCCACCAACAGAUCAAAGGAGAAGCGAAUUGUGAUCUGUCCAUAUGAGGGGCUUGGUGCCUGCAGCAACAUGGGUGAAUCUCCAGGUAGUGGUGACGAGUUGAAGGAGCCAGUCAAAAAAGAACGUGCUGUGUGAUUCCAUUUAUAGAAAACUCUAGAAAAUGUGGACUAAUCUAGAGUGAGGGAAAGCAGACCCGUGAUUGCGCCUGGGGCAAGGAGACUUGGGGGUGGAGGGGGGGCCAGAGGGAGGGGUUUCAAAGAUGAUAAAGACAUUUUGAGGGUGAUGGAUAUGAUCCCUCUCUUAAUAGUGGCGAUGGCUUCAUGGAUAGAUACAAAUGUCAAGACAUAUUGAACUGUAUACUUUAAAUGCUUGCGCUUUACUACGUGCCAAUCACAUCUUCAUAAGGCUGUUUUUUGUUUUUUUGUUUGUUUUUUUUUUUUAAAAAAAAAGGCCUCGUAAUGGAGAUGAGUACAGCCUGGCCUCAGUCUCCCCACCUGCAAUGUGGGGGAUCCCCGUGUGCCUUGCACCACCUGAGAGCUCCAGGCUUAGGAGGAGACCGAGGUGAGCCCUGUUUCUAGCCAGAAACCCCAAGGCCCUAACCCCCAGGGCUGGGCAGCUGCAGGGCCCAGGCUACUGCCCCUCCGGGGAUGGACGGUGCGAGGCCACUCCAGGGGCAUGACCUGUUUUGGGCAGGCGGUGGCUGUGGGGAGAAGAGUGGGGAGGUCCCUUUCUUUUUUCUUCCUGAAUAAAAAAAUGCAUGAUGCUACAUGUGCCUUGGGAUUUUUCAACACAAUUAUCUAAAAAUAGUGUGGGCCACCACAGCCUGAUUCCUUUUUAGGAAGGAUUUUGGGAGCCCAGCCUGUCCUGGCGGCCAGCUCAGGAAGUGGAGGCUUGUCUGGGUGGGGCCGGGGCUGCAGCGACCCUUCCCUAGCUCCGGCCAAGCCCACCCCAUCUCCCACUUCGCUGAGAGCCGGGCUGCCAGGAGUGCAUGGUGGGGCGGCCAGUGGCUUCCUGGCGGGGCCCACAGCCCCAGUGAAUUUCAGCCCUGCUGCUAGGGCACUGCAUGACUUCUCUGUGCCUCAGUUUCCCCAACGGGGAAGUGGAAGUCAUUGAUCACAGUCAACAAGGCCCAGCAGAGACAGGAAAGACACUACUGAGGGAGGGUUGAUGGGUGCCUGCUUCUCAGUUGAGCCUCUGUCCUUGCAAAAUCAGGCAAACCGUCCGGGUGUCCUGGACAACUCUGACACCUUCCUGCCCCACCUAGGCCUUGGGACCAGCAGGGUGAGACCCAAGGCCUGGACUCCCAAGGCCAACAGUGGCCAGCUCAGGUUGGUUCCACUGCUCACACUCUGCUGACACAUCCUUUCCCUAUGGGGAGCUAAAGGUCAGACCCUGCACGUGGCCUCCUUUGUUUCCAGGGAGCAUGGUGGGUUCUGGAGGCCCAGCACAGCCCCCUGUCCAUCCACAAGCAAAGGCCUCGGCCCACUGCUGCGGUGGCCCCAAAACACCGCGUGGCCUGUGGCUGAGGCCUGGACCACCAUGCCUGUGGGCAGGGGUCAGGACACAUGUUCUGAUCACCUGCCGUGCGGUUGGUGCUCUUCCAAACCUGAGGGCCCAGUUCUUAUGUCUGUGGCCCAAGAAAGAAAAAUCCAGCUACUCAAAUAAUUUUGAAAUGACUCAGAACCUUGCAUUUCUCUCUCUCUCUCUUUUUUUUUUUUUUUUGACACAGUGUCUCACUCUGUCGCCCAGGCUGGAGUGCAGUGGCACAAUCUUGGCUCACUGCAACCUCCACCUCCCGGGUUCAAAUGAUUCUCCUGCCUCAGCCUACUGGUAGCUGGGAUUACAGGUGUGCACCACCAUGCUUGGCUAAUUUCUGGGUUUUUUUUUAGUAGAGAUGGGCUUUCACCACGUUGGUCAGGCCGGUCUGGAACUCCUGACCUCGUGAUCCACCCGCCUCAGCCUCCCAAAGUGCUGGGAUUACAGGCGUGAGUCACCGCGCCCAAAAACUUUGAGGGAGCUUUAAGCCCCCAGCCCCGGGCAUCCCGCCCUUCUCUGAUCAGUGAGGCCAUUGGUGACCAGCUCUGCGGAACCCAGGGCCAGUGGCAUCCAGACUGCAGGUUCAUGUGUGUACACACAGACACGCACGGUGCACACACCCAGGUGCUACACCUCCCUGGGAGCAGGGAGGGAUGGAGGGGCUGGGCAGCCUCCUGCGAUGCUGUCAGGCCUGCCUCCCUUGGGCUGCUGUUGCCCUGGCAACCACCACAGGCUCAGGGCUGGAAGCCAAAGGACCAGCUCCCCCCUCCCACGCUGUGGUGCCCAUGCGGGGCGUGGUCUCUCUUUGAGUGCUCCGGCCAGAGCUGUUUUCACAGAAAGGUAGGGGGAGGGCAGAGGGUGGCGUGGAGCGCUGCUGUGACUGCAAAAAGGGACAGGAUUGGGUGGGGGCCAAAGAAGGCACUCCCCCCAGGCACAUCCAGCUCCCUAGAGAGAUCUCAGGGGACAGGUGAUGGGGUAGGCGCUCAGAGUACACACUCCAGAGGCCAGGGAAGGACUGCAGCCAGGAGAAAGGGGAGGCGCCCAGGCCGCGGCACGAGGAGGAGUCUCCCCUGUCGUCACCACCACGCCAGGCCAGGACCAGUGCCUGAAGGAAGCCACUCCUGACCGCAGCCCCCGCGGCUUCUCCUCCCACUACUCCUGGCUGGUUUUCCUGACCAGAGCCUCCCCUCGUGCUGUCCGCUCUUCUGCUCCUUUCAAAUCCUCACAGAUGCCCCUACAUGUCCUUCCACUCAGGCAGAGGGGCUUGAAACCCAGAGCUGGCGCUCUUCCUACAGCAAGAGCGGGGGUGAAGAGUUUGCCCUUGACUUGCGUGGCCCAUAGUGAUGCACUGUUGUGAGCGCCUGAGUGUGUCCGCCCAGCCGAAGGCCCCUCCCCGCCUCUGUUUCUCCCACAGGGGUCUCAGCCCGAGCGCCCUGUGCUAGCGCAAUUGCUGAGCCCACCUCACUCAGCACAGUGCCACGUUCAGCAGGCACCCACUGUGCACCAGGCACACCGCACAAGGAGCCCAGCAGGCGGUGUUCUGGACAUUCUUCCCCCUCCCGGCCCAGGCCUUCAGGGAGCGAGCAGAGAAUGGAGGACUAGGUCAGCUUCUCCUGGCCCCACUGGAGGCCACAGCCACGGGUGCUGGAGUCACGCACCCUGGGUUUCAAGUCCGGCUCCACUGUGUAUCUGCUGCGUGACUUUCAGUCUGUCACUUGCCCUCUCUGUGCCCCACCUUACUCAUCUGUAAAUGAGGGGUAAUAAAGGCACCUACCUCAUUGAUUAGUUUGUUGUAAAAAUCAAAUCUGAUCAUGUCUUGAAAGCCUCAAGUACAAGGUUCCUGGUGCAGUGAGCAUCGGCUAUUUGGUUUAGAGGGGCGCGAGGCAGGGAGAAGCAGGACCUGUGCCUUCUUGCCCGUGUUCGUCUUACACGGGUCACAUGCCCAUGGGAGUUCCCACUCUGGGCCUCAGUUUCCCCAGCUGGGGGCUGAGAAGGUGAGGCUCACCAAUGACGAUGUCUCUGGCUGUCCUGUCUCCUACAGGCCAGGACUGCAGGGGAUGCAGGCAGAGCCAAGGGCAUCCAGUUGUUGUGUGACGUUGGACAGGUCACCCUCCCGGGGCCUCUGCUCGGUCUCCUGUCCUGUAAGAGGCUCCAGCUGGUGCUGUUCCCUCCCAAACACCUUUGUGAGCUGUGGAAAACAUCAGAGACCUCAGGAGGUCCUUCUAGCUGGGGCCCGCUGCAUGCCAGGUCUCCAUGGCACCCAACCCUGCAAGGUCACGGCUCUCAAGAGGCUGGGCACUUGCUCCAGGUCUCAGCAAGAACAAAGCUGGUCGCUGCAUCUCGG
rnacentral:lncRNA from 1 species